UCCCAGAUGGCUCAGUGGUAAAAGGAUCUGCCUGCAGUACAGGAGACCUGGGUUCGAUCCCUGGGUUGGGAA
rnacentral:tRNA from 1 species